UCCAGAGAAGCCAGGGGCUCCCCACAUCAAACCCUAACUAGCUCAAAAAUUGACAAAUUGAAGGGCCAAAUCAGUCCCAAAUCGAUAUCCAAGCAUAAAUUAGUGAUCACCUAAGUGUAGUGAUCAUAAGGCAUGGAAACCGGGUCUUCAAGCGGACAAGCCGGAGCGGACACACGCUUGAAGGGAACGCUUUAAAGGUGAUGCUCGUUUGUUGUGGAUGUUGAUCAAGCAAUGGAGUCAAGAACCGAACACAAGUUUUGAAUGCUUCCGUGCUAAUCUAAUCUAGUUUAAAACAUGUUGUUUUGUAAACUCA